GUGUGUGUUCAUUAGCAAUCAAACCCAUGAUUAGUGUGAAAAAUCCCUGCUCAUUAAUGAAGUUUCUUCCUUCAGUGCAUCAAGAAGAGAAGCAAAGGGGAUCAAGACUCCCUGUAUCAGCCCAUUGACAAGAGAGGCCAGUCGGCGUAUGACGUCCUGCGCGGGGCUGAGGAGGGUCCAGCCAGAGGGGGCCGCAAGCGAGGAGACGACACUUACACGGUAAGAGCCUCUUCAUCACAGGAAGGAAGUUCAUUAGCAGCGCUGAGAAGAAGAAUCCAGCUGAAGAAACCACAGAAACAGCAUCAGAUCAGAUCAGAUCUGACAGAAACCUUACUCACACUGCCGCUUCAGAAUGAAGGCUCUUCAUUUACACACAC